rnacentral:rRNA from 1 species
UACGUAGGCAGCAAGCGUUGUUCGGAGUUACUGGGCGUAAAGAGUGCGUAGGUGGUGCCCUAAGUCUGUUGUGAAAUCUCCCGGCUUAACUGGGAGAGGUCCUGGAAAACUGUCAGGCUUGAGGCAGGGAGAGGGAUGUGGAAUUCCCGGUGUAGUAGUGAAAUGCGUAGAGAUCCGGAGGAACCCCAGAGGCGAAGGCGGCAUCCUGGCCCGCUACUGACACUCAGACACGACAGCAUGGGGAGCGAACGGG